rnacentral:rRNA from 1 species
UACGGAGGAUGCGAGCGUUAUCCGGAUUUAUUGGGUUUAAAGGGUGCGUAGGCGGGCUUUUAAGUCAGCGGUAAAAAUUCGGGACUCAACCCCGUCCGGCCGUUGAAACUGGGGGCCUUGAGUGGGCGAGAAGAAGGCGGAAUGCGUGGUGUAGCGGUGAAAUGCAUAGAUAUCACGCAGAACUCCGAUUGCGAAGGCAGCAUACCGGCGCCCUACUGACGCUGAGGCACGAAAGCGUGGGUAUCGAACAGG